CGACUGAUUAGAAGCUUGCUUCUAUGACGUUAGCGGCGGACGGGUGAGUAACACGUGGGCAACCUGCCUGUAAGACUGGGAUAACUUCGGGAAACCGAAGCUAAUACCGGAUAGGAUCUUCUCCUUCAUGGGAGAUGAUUGAAAGAUGGUUUCGGCUAUCACUUACAGAUGGGCCCGCGGUGCAUUAGCUAGUUGGUGAGGUAACGGCUCACCAAGGCAACGAUGCAUAGCCGACCUGAGAGGGUGAUCGGCCACACUGGGACUGAGACACGGCCCAGACUCCUACGGGAGGCAGCAGUAGGGAAUCUUCCGCAAUGGACGAAAGUCUGACGGAGCAACGCCGCGUGAGUGAUGAAGGCUUUCGGGUCGUAAAACUCUGUUGUUAGGGAAGAACAAGUACAAGAGUAACUGCUUGUACCUUGACGGUACCUAACCAGAAAGCCACGGCUAACUACGUGCCAGCAGCCGCGGUAAUACGUAGGUGGCAAGCGUUAUCCGGAAUUAUUGGGCGUAAAGCGCGCGCAGGCGGUUUCUUAAGUCUGAUGUGAAAGCCCACGGCUCAACCGUGGAGGGUCAUUGGAAACUGGGGAACUUGAGUGCA
rnacentral:rRNA from 2 species